rnacentral:rRNA from 1 species
AACGAACGCUGGCGGCAGGCCUAACACAUGCAAGUCGAACGCCCGUAGCAAUACGGGAGUGGCAGACGGGUGAGUAACGCGUGGGAACGUGCCCUUCGGUUCGGAAUAACUCAGGGAAACUUGAGCUAAUACCGGAUACGUCCGUAAGGAGAAAGAUUUAUCGCCGAAGGAUCGGCCCGCGUCGGAUUAGCUAGUUGGUGAGGUAACGGCCCACCAAGGCGACGAUCCGUAGCUGGUCUGAGGAGGAUGAUCAGCCACACUGGGACUGAGACACGGCCCAGACUCCUACGGGAGGCAGCAGUGGGGAAUAUUGGACAAUGGGCGAAAGCCUGAUCCGGCCAUGCCGCGUGAGUGAAGAAGGCCUUAGGGUUGUAAAGCUCUUUCAGCGGGAAGAUAAUGACGGUACCCGCAGAAGAAGCCCCGGCUAACUUCGU